rnacentral:lncRNA from 1 species
UGUGUGUGUUAGAUAGGGCUGAUUUGCCUGGCUGAAGACACAAAGCAGGAUUAUAAAGCCACUAGGGUUAGAGUUAUGGGUAGAGCAGGGCCCACCAGACACAGUAUGGAGAGAGAGAUAGAGAGAGAGGUAGAGAGAGGGAAAGGUAGAGAGAGAGAGAGAGGUAGAGAGAGGGGGAGGUAGAGAGAGGGAGAGGUAGAGAGAGAGAGGUAGAGAGAGGGGGAGGUAGAGAGAGAGAGGUAGAGAGAGGUAGAGAGAGAGAUAGAGAGAGAGGUAGAGAGAGGGAGAGAGAGAGAGAGAGGUAGAGAGGUAGAGAGAGGGGGAGGUAGAGAGAGAGAGGUAGAGAGAGGUAGAGAGAGAGGUAGAGAGAGAGAGGUAGAGGUAGAGAGAAAGGUAGAGAGAGAGAGAGAGAGAGAGAGAGAGACAGACAGAGAGACAGACAGAGGGAGAGAUGAGGGAGAGAGACAGACAGAGAGACAGACAGAAGGAGAGAUGAGGAAGAGAGACAGACAGAGAGACAGACAGAGGGAGAGAUGAGGGAGAGAGACAGACAGAGAGACAGACAGAGGGAGAGAUGAGGUAGAGAGACAGACAGAGAGACAGACAGAGGGAGAGAUGAGGAAGAGAGACAGACAGAGAGACAGACAGAAGGAGAGAUGAGGAAGAGAG